UACGUAGGGUGCGAGCGUUAAUCGGAAUUACUGGGCGUAAAGCGUGCGCAGGCGGUCUCGCAAGUCCGAUGUGAAAUCCCCGGGCUCAACCUGGGAACUGCGUUGGAAACUACGAGGCUGGAGUACGGCAGAGGGGGGUGGAAUUCCACGUGUAGCAGUGAAAUGCGUAGAUAUCAGGAGGAACACCUGCGGUGUAGACGGCUUACUGGACGGUAACUGACGCUGAGGCACGAAAGCGUGGGUAGCAAACAGG
rnacentral:rRNA from 1 species